rnacentral:rRNA from 1 species
CGCUGGCGGCAUGCCUAACACAUGCAAGUCGAACGGUAACAGGUCUUCGGAUGCUGACGAGUGGCGGACGGGUGAGUAAUGCGUAGGAAUCUGUCUUUUAGUGGGGGACAACCCAGGGAAACUUGGGCUAAUACCGCAUGAGCCCUGAGGGGGAAAGCGGGGGAUCUUCGGACCUCGCGCUAAGAGAGGAGCCUACGUCCGAUUAGCUAGUUGGCGGGGUAAAGGCCCACCAAGGCGACGAUCGGUAGCUGGUCUGAGAGGACGACCAGCCACACUGGGACUGAGACACGGCCCAGACUCCUACGGGAGGCAGCAGUGGGGAAUUUUUCGCAAUGGGGGCAACCCUGACGAAGCAAUGCCGCGUGGAUGAAGAAGGCCUUCGGGUUGUAAAGUCCUUUCGUGGAGGACGAAAAGGUGGGUUCUAAUACAAUCUGCUAUUGACGUGAAUCCAAGAAGAAGCACCGGCUAACUCCG